GGGGUGGGGGGGUUAACAACUAAGUAUACAUUCUGACAUUUUGCGGCUCUUAAAACAAUACCAAGGGCUGUACGUGAACUGUCUCAUUUAAUCCUUUCAAUAAACUAAUGAAGUGGGUACUACCAUUACCUCAGUUUUAUAGGCGCUAAAAGCAAGACAUACAAGUUUAAGUAAUUAUGCCCAAGGAUGCAUAAUCUGUUGUAGUCAUAACACUAUACUGAAUUGCCUUCCAAAUAUAAUGUGGCAAAGUGGACUCAUGCUCUCGCACCGUGUGGUGGAGAUAACUUCAGGAAUUCUUGGGCUUACAGCCCAGGUAUGAGUGAAAUAGGUAGGAGACUAUUUGAAAAAACAUUGUGGGCAGGUUUGCUUACGCAAAAAUAAAGUGGGGAUGAAGGCUGAUACUCAGAGAGUAAGGUAGCAUGUAGUGUGAGAUCAAGUUUAGGAGGUGGAAGCAAGCUUGUUACCGGGGCCUAUUGUGUGCCAGGUUAAAGAUAAGGCUUUAUCUUUAAAAAAAAAAACAAAAACAAAAACAAAAAAAAAAACCAUUGAAGGAUUUUAAGGAGGUGAUAAGGGUGUGUGUGUCUUGCAUAUCCAUUGUCAUGGUCCCACAACCUUGAACUCCUGGGAUAAUACAGACUGCCGGUAUCCUGCACCGCUGUCCUUAGUGUUUCCUUCUCACUCUUCAGAAUGUCUGUGUUUACCUUGAGAUUUGAGCUUGAGUGUUUCAUUUGCAUAUUUUUCCUUUCACUCAGUUCUGCCAAAGGGGAAAUUUUAAAACUGCAGCUCUUCAAAAAAAAAGUCAUUUUCAUGUUUGUUGAGUACUCACAGUUCGGUCAUUAAAUCCUUGUUGAGCAUUUGCUUAGUACUAGAUUCUGGGGCUAAAGAGAAGAAAAGCCAUUUCUCUGUGCUUGAUACUUUAAUUUUCCUGGGGAAUAGACAUGUACACAAAUAUUUAAAAUGCCAGGUGGUCAGUGCCUGAUAGAGAAAAGAGCUGGAUCAGGAGGUGGCUGGGAACAGGGAAGAACGGCAUUUGAGGAAGAGGAAACGUGGAAAGGCAGGAAUUUGCAAAAGGGUACAUUUGAAGAGUAUUUCUGUGUGGAUGGAGUUCUGGGUGAGUGGUUGGAACAAGGUGAGAUGAGAUGGGAGGGCUUGCUUGGGGCUAAAAUGAAGGGCCCUUGUACUGUAUGCUGAGGUUUUUAGAUGUUUUCUCGAAGGAAACAGGAGAUGAUGGAGGUCUUGUCAUAAAGACUUUUUUUUUUUAAUUUUUUGAAGUAUAGUCAAUGUGUCAAUUUCUGGUGUACAGCAUAAUAUAAAUGAUUGGUAUUUUAAAAAAUGAUGCAGCACAAGGGAUGUAUGAAAUUGGGAGAAAUGAGGAACCAGAAUGCCAUUUAGAGUGGUGCAGUAGGCUGAGGCAGAGGUGAAGAGAUGAAUGAAGGUAGCACAGUGUACUGGAGAGACUUCUAGAAGCAGUGAGAAGGAGGGAUGAACCUGAGAAGUAGUAGAACACAAGAGGCAGCCGAGGAAGGGGAGCUGCCACGGAGACAAGAAACGGGCGAGAGGCAGACGGAGAAGCAAACUGCUGUCUUGGACUGCAGAGGGGAAGGAAGUGCUGAGAGGUUGAAAGGAAGUCGAAAGAGAGGCUAGAAAAUGAUUUUAAAGUAGCUUUUAAAAAAUCACGAAGUCUUGAAAAUAGGCCUAUGGUGGCCAAUGUGAAGGAACGCAAGGAGAAAAAUCAUAUUUUGAGCAGUGCACACACCCAUAUUUAUAUCCUUUUUAAAAGUUCUGUUGCAGCAUUAACUAAUACAAAGCAGUGUUGAGUAGACUAAAGUAGUUUAAAGAAUUAGAUUUGAUGCUAGAAUGGUUUGAUAUGUUUGCUUAAGCUUUAGGUAUGUUACAUAGUUUGGAGGAUAGAGUAAUAAUGCUAGUUGUCAUCUGCUGUGUGUCAGGUCCUGUUCUUAGUUCUUUACGUGUGUCGUUUCAGUUAAUCCUCGGUUACUCUAUGAGGUAGGUACUACUGCGUCCACAUUUUACAAAGUAAUCUGGUUUGUUAUGUGCGUUGAAUGACAACAGGUGCCCCAUUUUACUUCACUUUUCGUUAUCUUCCUUGAAUUCACCCUUAGGCCUCUCUGGCACAAAUCCGUGUUGACUGUAUGUUAUUGAACAUAGAAAAAACUCCCAUGGAGAAUGCAGGCUGGUAUUGAAACAGGGGUGAGGAGCAGGUGAAUGAGGACAGCCAGGCAGUAGCUGAUGGUGCUAACUAGGAGAUGUGAAAGCAUGCUGAGUUGGAAAAUUCCCAAGGCGUCAGUUGAAUCCUCAUCCCUCCAAAAGUAGAGAAAGGGCGGAGUAAAGCAGACGCGUGCACUUUCGCAGAAGAGGGAGUUGAGCGGUAAUGGUAAUGAUCAGUAGCUGUCAGGAGCAAGAGGCAGUGGGUCAGGGAAAGUGUGAGAAGGAGUAGACACCACAGGACAAGCUUUGGAGGAAAGCAGCAUCAUUUACAAGAGAGCUAGGUUUCCAUUAAGCUAAGUUGUGGAAAGAACUGGUAGCAAAGUGAAAAAUACUGGGAAGUCUAGUUGCAUGGUCCAGGGACAUAGCGGCAGGGGCUUGUGAAAGCGGACAGGUGAGUUCAGGGGGCCAGGGGCUGAGCAGGUGACGGUAGCGGAGGAGUACCUGGGGUAGAGAGGUCAGGGUUCUCUCCCUUACGCCCCCAUGCAGCCCAUACACGCUGCACCACAGCCUUGAGCCCUCACUGUGCUGGCCUACUUCCACACCUCUGUUUCUCUCCCACAGGCUCCUGCAGUCAGGGCCAGUGUCUCACACAUUAUUGGAUCUACAUCUGCACAGAGAGAGCAUCCAAAAAAUGUUUAUUAAAUGAAAAGUAGGGGAGGGGAAUGAAUGGCUGGGGUUCCUAAUAGGUAAGACAGACUAGAUAUGCCGAUCCAAGAUAUUUGGACAAGUUUCCGGAAGCACCCUCCUGGGCUUGGAGCCCAAGCCUAAAGCGCAGCCCUGUAAGCCGAGUCCCUAAAUCUCUAUCUCGUUCCAGUUAUGCCCUUUCCCCCAGGACUAUACUCAGCAAAAAUUGGCACUCCACCACGAAGUCGACAACUCUGUCAUCCAGUCACAUCAGGAGCCACAGAGUGUGUGUGUGUGUGUGUGUGUGUGUGUGUGUGUGUGGUGUGAGGUGCCCACUCUUCCCCUCCCCCGCCGGCUACAAAUUCUGACCAGUCUUGCUUGGUCUUUUUUUCCUCCCAGUCUCUGAGGACAGUUCUCAGUCAUAUGGAUUCUUUUGCUUUGAAAUCAGAAUGGGGGGAUUUGGAGAGGGGCUAGUGGCAGGGUCAGUAGUGAUGGUUUUCCCAUAGAAUUUAGGGUGGCAGAAGCAUGAGAGCUCCCUGGUCUGAGAGAGAUGAGAGGGGAAAUAAUUCAAUCAGUGUAAAAAGUUUGUAAAACUUACUGUCUUCAAGGUACCUAAUACUUAGUCGGUCAUAAGACCGUCUAAGUUUCAGAAAUUGCUCCCUUACAAGGUUUGGCAGGGGAGUUCAUGUGAGGGGGUGGUACAAAUCUCUACUAAAAAGAAAGCUCCUGUGUUUCAGAGGGCCUGAAAAGAAUCUGCAAAUUUUAAAUAGUACAUCCAACUCUUCUUUAAACUAUCUUAAUUCUUGUAGUGUUGGGAGAGUCUCAGUGUGCUUAAUUUAAGAUAAAUCCUGUUCACACAUCUUUCUUGGCAAGUCCCUUGUAAGUGUUAAGGGAUGGAGGAAUACAUUACAUCAGGUUUAUCUGACAGACCCUUCUCUUUAACCCCGAGAGAUGAGUGUUUCAUAUUUCAUCUGAAAUACUUUGCUGACUAUGAUUUCAGUUGGAGCUGCUUUUAAAAGAGUGUCCUCUGAUUAUGAAAAGCUGGGUUUUGAGAGUAAGUACUUACUAGACUCUUGAAUCCAGGUGUUUUGUUUUACUGUUUUAUAUGUUCAUUGCAUCAGACACAGCAGAGGUUUAGCAUUCCGUUUUCCAUGCUUUCAUAGCCCUAUUUCGGGUCUGUGUUUUUAAGAAGUCGUUUAUAUUUUCAGCAUAGAAUCUUUAUUCCUUUGCCAGUGGAGCAUACAGUUUGUAGAUUAUAUGCAAUGAAUUUUAAGUUCUAGACCUGUUUCUGUUACCCUUCAUUUGCUGGCCCGCACGUAGGAGCAUAGAGUCAUUUUAAUAUUAACUAAAAAAUGUAAUUCAGAGUGCAUAUCUGCCAAAAGCACUGUACAGUGCCUCAGAGAGCUUGAUACAUCAUACAUGUCUGUCUGAUGGUGUCUGUCCACAUACUGUCUUCACAUUCUGAUGUCAGUAUUCCCCUCCACUGCUGUGGGUAAUUGAGAGGGGAAGUUUUUGUAUUUUUGAAAAUUCAAAAAUGUAUUCACUGAAGACCAUGAAAGACUUAAGUAGAGAAAAUUUGCAUGUAUUCAAAGUACACCAAAAGGGUUCCUCAAAAGCAAUUUACUUUAAUCUUACUUGGAAUCAGUAAGGUGGUUUAGAAUCUAAAAGCUGAAAAAGGCAGCCCAAGUCACUCUGAUUGAUGUAUGAUUGGGUUACUUGACUUUUUUGUUCUUCCUCCUGAAGGCAAUGCAUGCUCGUUGUAGAGAAUUAGAAACCAUCAAAAGGCAGAAAGGCGGGAGCCGAGAGCGGAGGUGACUGCGGUGCACGCGCUGGCUCUCAGGUGUUCUUCUGUCAGACAGAAUGUAUCUGCCUGUCGUUUGAGAGAAAAUAGAGUGACUCCAUUUCCUAAGUGAGCUGGGAAGUUUUCUCUUAGCUUUUUUCAUGACUGUGUUGUUACUUAAUAAAAUAUGUCAUUCUGAAGCCUUAGAAAACACCCUUCCUCUCCUUCUUCAAGAAUGGUGAGUUACACGUAGGCUGUUUAGUCAACAUUUUUCAUUCUGUCAGCAUGGUUGGAUGCCAAGUGGCUGUUCUGAGGGAUUUUUGAAGGUACGUUUUUUUUUGAUACUUUGCCAGGGAAAUCAUAACUCUUAAAAUGCUCCAUAGUCCUAACCAUACAAUUGGAUUUAUGGAUAGAUAUUAUGUUCCAUGUUUUGUUGUUUUCUCACUGUUUUAGUGUCUGGGAUUAACGCCAAAGGCUAUUCAGCCUCACUCUAUUUAUUACAUUAGAGUGUACAGCUAAGUUUACACAAUGGAGUUUAGAGGGGGGAAAAGGACCUUGUUUGUUUAUCAUUCUACCUACGUGUCUUUACACCAGUGAGAAAGGAAAGUAUUAUUUCUCAAAUAACUCAGUGAAAUCUCCUGAGAAAUCAGGCAUCACACUUAACAGAAUCAAUUACCUGACGCCUGAGCCACAGGAACAGCUUCUUGCCUUCUUCCAGACCGUCUUCCAUACGGCUGCCAAAAACGUUUUUUCCCCUAAAAGUCAAGUCUGUGGCUCUUCUCCCAAAAGCCCUCCACUUGCUCCUGGCUCCCACCCUCCAGGAUUGACUCCAACUCUGUGGGAUGGCAGACAGGCCUUUUGUGAUCUGGCUGCCAACGUCAUUCUUAAAUCCUUUACUCUAGUCAUGUUAAAUUACUCGGAAUUCUCUGAAAACGGCAUUGCUUGCAUGCCCCUGUCCUUUUAUUCCUGCUCCCCCUCCUUCUGGAAGGCUCUAGGCACCAUCGCACGCAGCAUCACUUCCUCUAUGAAGCCAUUCCUGACUUGAUCCUCAGCCCUGCUUUCCCCCUUCCAGGGAGAGUGGACCCUCCGUGCCCCAUCACAUUGACACACUUGUUCCGCAGCAUCUGUAACACAUUGUUGCACUUCCUGUGCCACAAUUUUGUGGGCAAUCUUUCCGGAGCUGAUUAUAUCCUUUUGUAGUGCUCAGCUUCCUUUAGGAACAUCAUGGUAGCCUUUCAGCUGGCUGACCUGCCUCCACUCUCACCUGCUCCCUGAUUCGCUCUCCAUGUCAUCCCCAGAGUCCUGUAAGAUCAGUAAACAAUAGCUGUAUUUCAAAGGCUCAGUAGGGACUGGGUAAAAUUAGCUUCAGGGUAUAACUAGCACUGGGUCUAAUUUAUUUCCUAUAUCAAAAUUGCCUAGACCCUAGCACCAGGGCUGUGAGAAAUUACGUAAAGAAUUAGAUGUAGACAGCCAGAAAAGUCACAGAGCCAAAAAGAUGCGGUUGCCAGACCUCAACCAGGGCUGCCAGAACUUGCAUGGGUGGGAUGUUCAGGGGUGUGUUACUGGGGCUUUCUUGUGGUCCUGGGUCAGAGUGGUAAUGAAGUCAGGAAACCCUGUCCAGUGACCAGAAGUAGUAGCAAUAUUCUUUGUUUGGAGCUGAGAGGGAUGUACAGUGUGGGAGCUACAAAGACCAGUAGAUUCAGUCUUGUCAAAAUAUAUUCCCCGAGGAUCUGAAAUUUCAAAAUACUGUAGUUUGUAUAUGUUUACUUGGAAUACAAAAUAAUUCCUUCCUUUACCACUAUAUUUAUCAAAGAAUUGUUUUGAGACAUCAUUUUAAAAAAGAAUGACUGGGACAUUGUGCUGUACACCAGAAAUUGAUAUAUUGUAACUGACUAUACUUCAGUUUAAAAAAAAGAAAGAAAUGUAAACUGAUUCAGAAGGUGUAAAUUUGUAUUUCUGCCACAGUUAAAAUUUUUGUUGACCUGAUGGGUUAGAAGUGAGAGCUUACUGUCAUUUUAGUUUGUGUCUUCCUGAUUGCUGUUCAGAUUAAGCAAUUUUUCAUGUUUAUCAUUUAGACUUGCUUUCCUGGAAAUUCCUGUUCAUACAGCCUUUGCUCACUUUUCUGUGGAGUUUUUCUUCUUCUUAAAAAUUUGUAGGCAUUUCUUGCAUACUAUGGAUGUUAACCUCUGUCUUAUACACUACAGAUAUUUCCCACAAUCUUUUGUUUAUGGUAAUAUUUUUCUUUUGUUUAUAGUAUCUUUGACCUAAACAUUUAUAAUAAAUGUCUCUUUGCCUUUACAACUCUGUGGCUUAUUCCUUCAGUUGAAAAUGUUUCCCCAACUACUAGUGUAUAAGUUUAUUCUCAAAUUUUAUUCUAAAAUACUGUUUUUCACAUUUUGUUUUUAAUUCACUUAUGAAUAUAGAUUAUGAUUGGAGUCUGGUUUUAUUUCCCUCUAGAGGCUAUUUUAAAAUCCUGUUUGUAUUAAGAUACGCUUUGAGACUUUCCAUUCUUAUGAUCUAAUUUUUUUCCAAAUUUAACAAAAUUUGGUAACAUUUACUGUACAUAUAUGUGCCAAAUACUUUCCUAAGCACUUUACAUAUUUCAGCUCAUUUAAUCCUGGCAGCAACAUUGUAGGUCAAUUUUAUUAUUCCACGUGAACUUUAAAAUGUUUUUAUCAGAUUAAAAAGAAACCGUUGGGAUUAUGAUUAGAAUCACUUUAGGUUUAUACAUUGAUUUGGGGAGAAUUAACAUGUUUUAUAUACUUCAGUAAUAUUUUUAUACAUUUUGUCAUAUGUCUUAAACCUGUCUGGUCAAAUUUAGCCUUAAGUCUUCUGCAGUUUUAUCACUAUUAGAAGUGGAAUAUGUAGGGGUUUUUUUCAUUUUCACUUCUAUCUGGCUGUUCCUGUAAGCACCCUUACUGAUGCAGCGUGUAUAUUAUUCAGCUUAGGGUAAAUUAUGCUGCAGUAGCAACCUGAAAUUCUCAUUAGCUUUAAACAAUGUUUUAUUCUUUUGUUUUUGUUCAACAAUAUCCAGUCCCUCUCUACUUCUAAGUAUGCAAGAUUUAUACUUUCUUGUCUCUUAAAAUGAUACAUAGCCAUCGGACUCGUUCUGGCCAAUGAAAAUGUAAGUGGAAGUGAUGUAUUUCACUUUGCAUGGAAGCACUCAGGAGCUGGAGAAUGAUUCUCCAUGUUAUCUCCCCUCCCAUAGUGAUUGUGGAAGUAUGUGCUGAUGUGGAAAUACCAGAAGACCAAUGUAGCUAGGAUGUUGGGCUGUUGUAUAGAAGACAGUUGCCUUGCAGGCCACCCAGGUGAAGGGUCUGUAGUUUCAAAUUCAGAGAUUUGAGGGAAUUUAGUUUUUUUCCACUACAACAUAACCUAGCCAAUCCUGACUAAUACAGCGUACAUAUUCUACAUAUUUUAACAAAAGUGUCGUGUGUGUGUGUAUUCAUUUAUCCAUAUUGUUAUAUAGGACAGAGUUCUUUCAUUUAAGUAUGGGUCCACUGCUUUGGAUGCCAAGUAUCUUUCUUACAUAAGCCACAUUCGUAAUGCAUCCUAUACAGUUUCCAGUGUGGAUUUCUUUAUUAUGGAGCAAAAACUUAAAAAUACUUGUAGAAAAAUAUAAAUACAGAAUCUUACAACUUCCCCUUCAUCUUUUGUAAUUGUCACGGCCAAACCAAAGCAUUUUUUAUAACUUACCUUUAUUGAAUCUUUCUAAAGCGGACAGCUUGUUUUCAUAAAAGCAAUUUAUUCUGUUCAUAUUAUUGUUGGAUUCUGUAGUAUUUAUUUAAAUUACUUGUUUAUAGUAGCAGUACAACUGUCAUAAACAUGUUUCAGAGCAAACACAACUGGAUAUUAGUAAGUGUACAAUUCAGCUGGUGAAAAUGGAAUACAUGAUUGUAAGGUCAGAACAUUUAGCUUGCUGUGUAGGUAAUAGUCUGAAGGUUUUACAGAUGAAAUUGAGAGCUUUGUAAGUCCCAAGAGUCAUUUGGAAAGAAGGGAAUUAAGCGAGCUUCAGUAUUAUGCUCUAUAUUUAUAUAUGCAUGUACUCUAUUUGUAUAUGUGUGUGUCUCUGUUAUAUUGAUCUUGUAUCCAGCCACAUUCUAGAAUGUUCUUUUUAAAAGCAUAUCUUGGGGUUUCUACGUAUGUAGUCAUAUUAUCAGCAGAAGAUAAUUUCAUCUCUUUCCCAAAUUUAUAUUAUUUCCUUUUCUUACUGCACUGUUAUAACCUCCAAAACAAUGCUGAGUAAGUGAUGGUAAUAGUGGGUCUCCCUGUCUUUUCCUUGAUUUCAGCAGAAGUGUAUUUAGUGUUUCACUCUUCAAGAUAAUGUCUGCUAUCAGCUAUUUGGGAAAGGUCCUUAGUAUUUUAGGUGGUUACUUUCUGUGGCAGAGAUAGGCUAGAUACUCACUCAGCACUUUUCCUGUUCUCCUGAGAACACAGGUAGCUUACAUUUUCCAGUCCCAUUUGUGAUAAGCUCAAUCUGACUGAAUUUUACCUGUGAUUAAGUAAGCCCAAUCUAACUGAAUUUUGGUCAAAAGACUGUGGGUGGAAAAGAUUUGCCAUACUUCCAGUCCUAACUCUGAGCCUGCUGCAUGGUUUUCCACGCUGCCUUCCCUUCUCUGACAUUCAGAUGCAGAGUACUGGGUCGAGAAUUCUGAGGUCCUAGAGGAUGGCAGAGCUACUGAUGGAAAGAUCGUGGAUCUCUGAAUAACUGCCUGUAGGAGACAUGCAUUGCUGACCCACACUGGAUUAUGAUGUGAUGAGAAAUAACUCAUUAUGUGAAGCCACUGAGUCAUGAGAUCUGGAGCUGUGAGAAUCAUCGUGAAAUCAUGAGGUUACAAGCACAAGAAUGGAGAAAUAGAAGGGAAGGAAUCCAUGUCCUUGAAAACCUCUCUGGACUUCACGCUAUAAGAAGAAAAUAAUUGCUUUUUUUUUUUGCUUAAUGUAUACUCUUUAUUCAGGUAUUCUGUUACAUCCAAAAAUAAUCUUAAUCAAAACAUGAUCCUUUAUUUCUCCUGUGAAGUGCAACAAACAUUGUAACAGACCCUGGAAGAACUCUACUCAGAGGGAGUCGUGAUAAACCAGAGCGUCAGCCCUUUCCGCUCGGACACCAAUAAGUCUUGCACUUCAAAAUUGCUGACCUAAAAAGGAUACUUGAGAAGGAGCAUGUCUUUUUUUUUUCCUCAAAGAAAGCAACACCAGAAGCAGUCUGACUUCCUUGUUCACUUCAAUGCAUGCAAAAAAGAAAAGCAGCAUUAAAAGCAACACAACGUGAGAGGUGCGUCGCACUGGGAAGCAGUUGCCUUCCCUGAUGGAUACAGAAGGCCGCGCAGUUAGUUCCUGCUCAGUACUGCACUUUGAUUGGAUCUUACCCAUACACAGAAGUAAAGGAAAGCCCAAAGUAUUGUCUCUUUCUCUCAUCAUUUUAAAAAAGAUUGAAAGACAUACUCCCCCAAAUGCCAAUGGCUUGAUUCAUGUACUGUCUUCAAUCACAUCUCAGCAUUCCAUUCUAAACAUGAAAUAUGUAUUUUUAGUGUCCCUAAGUAAAUGUUCCAGCGCUCCAACUAUGAGGGGUGGGAAUCCUUUAUCUCGGUGGGGGUUGGACAGUGAAGACUUCUCCCACCCUCCUUCAAAUAGCCACCGAAUCCCUUAAAGUGAAAGUACUGUUACUUGUCUUUAGCAAAUAAAACAAACAACAACCCUUUGAUCUUUAGGAAGCCCUUUCUUGUUAAGGUAACAUUCUGUCUGACUUUUAUGUUUCAGCAUUCAUUGUAUAUUUAAUUAUUUGUAAAAGUUUUGUUUUAAACGAUUAUACUUUUUCAUAACUUAAGAUAAACAUAGGCAUGCUUUGUUAAAGAUUAAAAAUAAAUCUCACACGAAGCUGCAAAACAUGGCAAACAUAAUACUACAUGGGGUCGGUAUGUUCCAAAACACGGUUCUCCAGGGGCCCCUCCAAACACACCGCUUCAUUAGGACUCUUGUUCUGAAAAGUUUCAGGAAGCCCCUGACUCUCACCCACCCUUUCCUGAAACUGGUGAAAGUAUGAAAAAAAAGAAAAAGAAAGAAAAUUGCCACUGAAGUGAAAAAAGGAGAAUCUCAACACAUCUGGGAGGCAUGUUUUGUCUUUUUUUUAGAUUGUUACUGUGCUCAAAAAUACCUUGAUGCUAAUCUUGUAAUAGCUUUCAGACAGGGAACGCACUGGGAUAGCGAUUAUAAACACAAGGUCGUUGACAGUGUUCAAUAGAUACGUUAUCAAAUGACUGUUGUUAAUUCAGCUGGAGAAUAAUUCCUAGAUCUUAUUACAUGGAAAACAUCAUCUCACUCCAACCUGUUCAAAUUUGACUAUAACUUUAUGAAUAAGGGUUCCCUUUUGGAAAUAUCCAAAUAGAGCUAAAAAAAAAUAAAAAAUAAAAAUAAAAAAAUAAAAAAAACAGAUGUUCCUUGGCGGCUCACUAUUCAGGCUUAUUCCCCAGAAUCUUUGAGUGUUCACUAACUCUUCCAUUUUAUUCUUUCUUUUGAUUCCAAUACAUUUCCUCUUUCUGCGGUCGGGAGAGUCGACUCCACUCGUGGAUUUGGGGCUAGGAGGUCUGAAAUGCUAAUGCAGUUCUUGAAGCAGACGGUAGGUGGAGUUGAAAAGCCAUACCUCUCAGCCAGUCCUUUCUGGAAGACCCUAAUCAGAAGUGUGAGAAGACUGAUGUAAUGGGACACAGGAGAAAAUGCUGCCCGGAGAGGGGAGAGAAAGAGCAAGAGAGACAGGAACCAGAAAACGAGGGUGUCUACUCCUGGCUCAGACACCCACGUUUGUGGCUAGGAUCCAGCUUCCGUAAUUCCACAUGGAAAACCCUUCUACUCCAAUUGAAGAAAUCAAAUAUCUAGACCCGAUGAACACUUUGCAGAAGGAUUUUACUUACUCAGUGCCCAUGAUGUGACAUCUUCUAAUAGGCCAUUGCCAUUGGCUAAAGCUAAACAAAGAUGUACACAUGUGAAUUCAAUAAAGUAUUAAAAGUGG